rnacentral:tRNA from 7 species
AGUGACAUAGCUCCAAUAGGUUAGAGCGUCUGGUUCAUAUCCGGAUGGCUGUAGGUUCAAGUCCUACUGUCACUACCA